UGCCGCUGUUCACAGUGGGAGCGCAGCUAUUGACUUUAUUACCCGUCAUUCGAUGGUGGGGUGGAACUGAGGCACACAGUAACGACAACAGGAGACCUAGCCGGAGGUGCCAGAGCUGGAAAUGCUGAGCCUAAAAGAACAUUCAUGGGUGUAGUGAAAGAGGACGUGCGAAGGAGUGGUAUGAAGGCAGAUGAUGCUACAGUGACCCCUAAAGGAAGCAGCUGAAAUGAUCAUCAUCGUCAUCAUCAUCAUCAUCAUUUAUCUCCAACAGUGCUCCCCCAGCAGACCAACAAACUACACUGCAUUCUCAGCAACUGAGUGAUAGCCAAGCGCCAUCAUUUGCCAUCAGCCUCUGCAUUUGGCCUUCCAGUUCAACCUGUAGAUGUGGAUGCCUAGGUAGUUGUCCCAGGACAGAAAUGGGGAAUAUAGCCAUCCUCUUUCAGAAGCAGAUGAUUACUUCCAGACCACCCCACAAAAUCACCCACCAGUGCACUGUACUAAUAAAAACAACUGAACUGUUAUGUUAUUUGCCACAAACACUUUGGGGUUAAUUCCUCAUGUGAGUUUGACAAAUU